CCCACAGAGAAGGAAAUCUUGGCCGCCUAUGAAGGAGUUCAAGCUGCCUCGGAGGUGAUUGGCACGGAAGCACAACUCUUCCUGGCACCCCGACUACUGGUGCUGGGGUGGAUGUUUAAAGGAAAGGUUCCCACUACCCACCAUGCCACCGACACCACAUGGAGCAAAUGGAUUGCCCUCAUCACCCAGCAUGCCUGGAUUGGAAACCUGACUCGCCCAGGGAUUUUAGAGAUAAUUACAAACUGGCCGGAAGGUGAAAACUUUGGUCUCACUGAUGAAGAGGAGCAGGAACAAGUGACAUGUGCUGAAGAAGCUCCACCAUAUAACCAACUACCAGCAGAAGAAACACAAUACGCUCUUUUCACUGACAGUUCCUGUCACAUCAUAGGGAUGACCCAGAAGUGGAAAGCAGCCAUAUGAAGCCCCACAUGACAGGUUGUACAAGCUACCGAAGGAGAAGUUGGAUCAAGCCAAUUUGCUGAACUCAAGGCCAUUCAGCUGGCCCUGGACAUUGCUGAAAGAGAGGAGUGGCCAAAGCUCUACCUUUACACCAAUUCAUGGAUGGUAGCCAAUGCUCUGUGGAGCUGGCUGGAAAGGUGGAAAAAGGCCAACUGGCAGCAUAGAGGAAAGACAAUCUGGGCUGCUGAUGAGUGGAAAGACUAACAGGGUAGAGAAGCUACCUGUGAAAGUCUGUCAUGUAGAUGCCCAUGUUCCUGAGACUCAGGCUAAUGAGGAGCACCGAAACAAUGAGCAGGUAGAUCAGACAGCAAAAAUAGAGGUGUCAGAGAUAGACUUAGAUUGGCAGCAUAAGGGGGAGUUGUUCCUAGCUCGAUGGGCACAUGAUGCCUCAGGUCAUCAGGGCAGAGAUGUCACCUCUAAGUGGGCACGAAUCCGAGGGGUGGAUGUAACCAUGGACAGUAUUUCUCAGGUUAUCCAUGACUGUGAGACAUGCUGACAUCAAGCAGGCCAAGCUGGUGAAGCCCUUAUGGUAUGCUGGGCAGUGGUCCAAAUAUAAGUAUGGGGAGACCUGGUAGAUUGACUACAUCACACUGCCUCAAACCCACCAAGGCAAGCGCUAUGUGCUGACCAUGGUGGAAGCCACCACAGGAUGGUUGAAGACCUACCCUGUGCCUCACACUACUGCCCAGAACACCAUCUUGGGCAUGGAAAAGCAAGUCCUGUGGAGACAUGGCACUCCUGAGAGAAUUGAGUCAGACAAUGGGACCCAUUUCAAGAACAGCCUUAUAAACACCUGGGCCAGAGAACAUGGUAUUGAAUGGAUAUAUCAUAUCCCCGAUUAUGCACCAGUUGCUAGGAAAGUUGAUGAAUGAUGCAAUGGACUACUUAAGACUACCCUGAAGGCACUUGGUGGGGGAACCAUCAGGAAUUGGGAAUUGAACUUAGCAAAAGCCACCUGGAUGGUCAACACCCAAGGGUCCAUCAAUCGCGCUGGUCCUGCCUAGUCUGAACCCUUGCACACAGUAGAUGGAGAUAAAGUCCCUGGGGUACACAUGAAAGAGAUAUCUUCUAUUAAUGGGCCAUUGAAUGUCACUGCAUGACUGAUAAAAAUUAUAUCAACCCACCAUGAGAUGCUCUGCCCAGAGGGAGGAGCCAAGCAUUCCUAUCUGCAUAUAGUCAGAGAUUUGGAACAACAGAGACAGCUUUUUCCCACUGGAUUCCCAGAGGAAGAUCAGGCCCAUCUACACCACCACCAGACCUUCAGAGGAAAACUACACCCUUCUACAGGAUCACUGCUUCAACAGAACCACAUCUGUCACUCCAGGAGGACUGCAGCCACCAUUCCAAUCGGACUGCUACCAACACCCUGACCAACAGGGUGUUAAGUCGUAUUCUGACUCUAUCAGUGUUUUGUUUUCUGUUUUUUGUACUAUUGCAUUUGUAUUUUUUUUUUUUUAGUUUCCUAGUAAAGAACUGUUAUUCCUAUUCCCAUA